CUUGCUUUAGUUUAAUUUAAGAAUGUGGGUUUUGGGGAUCCUUGGUCUCGUGGAGAGGUUUGG
rnacentral:tRNA from 1 species